UACGUAGGGUGCAAGCGUUGUCCGGAAUCAUUGGGCGUAAAGCGCGCGUAGGUGGUCAUGUAAGUCCGCUGUGAAAGUCAAAGGCUCAACCUUUGAAAGCCGGUGGAUACUGCAUGACUAGAGUACGGAAGAGGCGAGUGGAAUUCCUGGUGUAGCGGUGGAAUGCGCAGAUAUCAGGAGGAACACCAAUAGCGAAGGCAGCUCGCUGGGACGUUACUGACACUGAGGCGCGAAAGCGUGGGUAGCAAACAGG
rnacentral:rRNA from 1 species